UACAGAGGGUGCAAGCGUUUGUUCGGAAUUACUGGGCGUAAAGCGCGCGUAGGCGGUUACUCAAGUCAGAGGUGAAAGCCCGGGGCUCAACCCCGGAACUGCCUUUGAAACUAGGUGACUAGAAUCUUGGAGAGGUCAGUGGAAUUCCGAGUGUAGAGGUGAAAUUCGUAGAUAUUCGGAAGAACACCAGUGGCGAAGGCGACUGACUGGACAAGUAUUGACGCUGAGGUGCGAAAGCGUGGGGGAGCAAACAGG
rnacentral:rRNA from 1 species